rnacentral:rRNA from 1 species
UACGUAGGGUCCGAGCGUUGUCCGGAAUUAUUGGGCGUAAAGAGCUCGUAGGCGGUCUGUCGCGUCGGCUGUGAAAACACGGGGCUCAACUCCGUGCCUGCAGUCGAUACGGGCAGACUAGAGUUCGGUAGGGGAGACUGGAAUUCCUGGUGUAGCGGUGAAAUGCGUAGAUAUUGGGAGGAACACCAGUGGCGAAGGCGGCUCACUGGACUGGUACUGACGCUGAGGAGCGAAAGCGUGGGGAGCGAACAGG